rnacentral:lncRNA from 1 species
AUGCUCAGUAAAAUUUGCAUUUCAGAUGAACAACAUGAUUUUUUAGUACAAAUAUGCCCCCAACAUCAUCCGUACCAUUUAUCUGAAAUUGCAGAAGUACCUGGACCUUCGGAUCGUAUCUGGCAAUUCCAGCUGCAGGCCACUGCAAGGGGGCAGGGCCCAUCUCCUUCCCCAGGCCCUGGGGGGCAAAAGCAGCCAGAGGUCUUCAGCUCCAGGGCCAGGCAGAGCGUCCCCCUCCGGGACGCAGUGACAUGAUGAUGGAAGGGCUCAGCGGUGUGAGCAGGAAGCAGGAGGCGUUAGGAGG